CUUAUUCGCUUAGAGUAAUCAUGACUAGAUUUCAUGAUGUAUUUGAUUGGUUUGGUUCAUGAGAAUAAGAUUAAAAGGGACAGUUGGGGGUAUUCAUAUUCAAUAGUCAGAGGUGAAAUUCUCGGAUUUAUGGAAGAUGAACAAGUGCGAAAGCAUUUACCAAGGAUGUUUUCAUUAAUCAAGAACGAAAGUUAGGGGAUCGAAGAGGAUUAGAUACCCUCGUAGUCUUAACUAUAAACGAUACCGACUAGAGGUUAGUGAAGGUCAUUGUGUCUUGACUAGUAUCUUAU
rnacentral:rRNA from 1 species